UAUUAGGUUGGUGCAAAAGUAAUUGUGGUUUUUGCCAUUAGAAGUAAUGUACCAAACUAAUAUUAUAUUAUUGUU
rnacentral:miRNA from 1 species